rnacentral:rRNA from 1 species
UCGAUUGAGUUUGAUCAUGGCUCAGAACGAACGCUGGCGGCAGGCCUAACACAUGCAAGUCGAACGCCGUAGCAAUACGGAGUGGCAGACGGGUGAGUAACGCGUGGGAACAUACCCCUCGGUUCGGAAUAACUCAGGGAAACUUGAGCUAAUACCGGAUACGUCCGAGGUUUUAAUCGACCUCGGAGAAAGAUUUAUCGCCGGAGGAUUGGCCCGCGUCUGAUUAGCUUGUUGGUGAGGUCAUGGCUCACCAAGGCGACGAUCAGUAGCUGGUCUGAGAGGAUGAUCAGCCACAUUGGGACUGAGACACGGCCCAAACUCCUACGGGAGGCAGCAGUGGGGAAUAUUGGACAAUGGGCGAAAGCCUGAUCCAGCCAUGCCGCGUGAGUGAUGAAGGCCUUAGGGUUGUAAAGCUCUUUUACCCGGGAAGAUAAUGACGGUACCGGGAGAAUAAGCCCCGGCUAACUUCGUGCCAGCAGCCGCGGUAAUACGAAGGGGGCUAGCGUUGUUCGGAAUUACUGGGCGUAAAGCGCACGUAGGCGGAUCUUUAAGUCAGGGGUGAAAUCCCGAGGCUCAACCUCGGAACUGCCUUUGAUACUGGGGAUAUAGAGUCCGGGAGAGGUGAGUGGAACUGCGAGUGUAGAGGUGAAAUUCGUAGAUAUUCGCAAGAACACCAGUGGCGAAGGCGGCUCACUGGCCCGGUACUGACGCUGA